rnacentral:rRNA from 1 species
UACUCGAGUGGCGAACGGGUGAGUAACACGUGGGUGAUCUGCCCUGCACUUCGGGAUAAGCUUGGGAAACUGGGUCUAAUACCGGGUAGGACCGCACUUUAGUGUGUGCGGUGGAAAGUUUUUUCGGUGUAGGAUGAGCUCGCGGCCUAUCAGCUUGUUGGUGGGGUAAUGGCCUACCAAGGCGGCGACGGGUAGCCGGCCUGAGAGGGUGUACGGCCACAUUGGGACUGAGAUACGGCCCAG